UCUGACCACACUGGGGCUGAGACGUGC
rnacentral:sRNA from 1 species